UAGCUCAGUUGGAUAGAGCACCAGACUUCGAAUCUGGGGGUCGGGGGUUCGAAUCCCUC
rnacentral:tRNA from 1 species